rnacentral:rRNA from 1 species
UACGGAGGGUGCAAGCGUUAUCCGGAUUCACUGGGUUUAAAGGGUGCGUAGGUGGGUUGGUAAGUCAGUGGUGAAAUCUCCGAGCUUAACUUGGAAACUGCCGUUGAUACUAUCAAUCUUGAAUAUCGCGUAGGUAAGCGGAAUAUGUCAUGUAGCGGUGAAAUGCUUAGAUAUGACAUAGAACACCAAUUGCGAAGGCAGCUUACUUCACGAUCAUUGACACUGAGGCACGAAAGCGUGGGGAGCAAACGGG